rnacentral:tRNA from 1 species
AUGUAGCCAAGUGGAUCAAGGCAUGGAUUGUGAAUCUCACCAUGCGCGGGUUCAAUUCCCGUCGU